UCCACACCGCAUCCCGCUUCACCCACGUCCCCCCGUCCUGAUCCGGUACCCUGUGGACCGAGCGCCCACCAGGACG
rnacentral:tRNA from 1 species